rnacentral:SRP_RNA from 1 species
GCCAGGUGCGGUGGCACAUGCCUGUAGUCCCAGCUACUCGAGAGGCUGAGGUGGGAGGAUUGCUUGAACCCAGGAGUUCUGGGCUGUAGUGCGCUAUGCCGAUCGGGUGUCCACACUAAGUUUGGCAUCAAUAUGGUGACCUUCCGGGAGCAGGGGACCACCAGGUUGCCCAAGGAGGGGUGAACAGGCCCAGGUCGGAAACAGAGCAGGUCAAAACUCCUGUGCUGAUCAGUAGUGAGAUUGCGCCUGUGAAUAGCCACUGCACUCCAGCCUGGGCAACAUAGCGAGACCCCGUCUCU